GAUGAAGAACGCAGCGAAAUGCGAUAAGUAGUGUGAAUUGCAGAAUUCAGUGAAUCAUCGAAUCUUUGAACGCACAUUGCGCCCUCUGGUAUUCCGGAGGGCAUGCCUGUUCGAGCGUCAUUAAAACUACUCAAGCUAAGGUUUUACCUUCUGCUUGGUCUUGGGUUUGAGGAUUCAAAAUCCUCUCUCCGAAAUCCAGUGGCGAAUUGUUUGAGCUGUAGACGUAGUAAAUCAUUCUACCCGUUGCAAGCGAGAAUAAUAUUCAGCCAUACCCCCCAUACUUUUCUAGUUUGACCUCGGAUCAGGUAGGGAUACCCGCUGAACUUAAGCAUAUCAAUAAGCGGAGGA
rnacentral:misc_RNA from 1 species